ensembl:lncRNA
AUGGCAGUGGGUUACGUUUACAUUUUCUUGCCCAGUGGACAUAAACAGAUGCCUCCACCAUUCAUUUUGCCUUCAGCUUUUGUCUUGCUGCCUGGGGACGUCCCGGACCUCUUGCAGUGGGAGCAGGAUGGCAAGGAGGAAGCUCGUGAGGAGAUAUUUGUGCUUUCAUACCUAAAACUCAAACAUCUCCAGUGGUCUAUAUCAUUACUACCCAAAGCAAGGUUUGCAGACCAGCAGNNNNNNNNNNNNNNNNNNNNNNNNNNNNNNNNNNNNNNNNNNNNNNNNNNNNNNNNNNNNNNNNNNNNNNNNNNNNNNNNNNNNNNNNNNNNNNNNNNNNUUUCUUUGCCUGGGAAGAAGUUUGAGCAGCCUUCAGAACAUGCCAUGGGCAUUCAUUCACACUUCUUUAUCUUUGCUCUGUCAGGUUCCCUAUGGAAGUCCUUUCACCCCUUGGCCCAUGCUAUUAAAGUCUAACAGAAGCCCUGCAACUUGCCUGAAGCUAGAGACGUCAAAAUAUCAAGGCCACACUGUGUCCUCCUUCCUCCGAACUCUAAGAUCACUUGUCUGUACAUGUGAUUUGGGCACUAGCCCUAUAAAUCUUUGCACUGUGGUGGCAACAGGUCUAUAAGUUUACUAAGAACCAACACCAUGGUUUUCUUUUUUAACUUUAAUUUUGAAAUAAUUUUAGACUGACAGAAAAUUUGUCAAAAUCAUAAGAGGAGUGCUCCCUUACACCCUUCACCCAACUUCCCCUAAUUCUAACAUCUUCCUUAACCAGGUACAAUGAUCAAACCUGGGCAAUUAACUUCAGUACAAUACUGCUAAUGAAAUUGCAGACCUUAUUAAGAGAGAUUUCCCCAGUUUUCCCACUCGUGUUCUUUUCCUGUUUGAGGAUCCAAUCUGAGAUCCCACCUCAAUCCAGUUGUCACAUCUCCUUCACCUACUCCAGGCUGGGAACAAUUCUUCUGUCUUUCCUUCUCUCUCUUGUACUUGACACUUUAGAACAUUGCUGAUCACUUAUUUUGUAGAAGGUUCUUCAAUUUGAGUUUGAUGCUUUCUCAAGGCUAAAUAGAGGUUUUGCAUUUUUGGCAAAAAUGGAAGAAGUGAUGUUGUGUUCUUCUCAUUUGUAUCAGGGAACAUGAUUAUCAAUAUUUCUUAUUGCUGGUGAUCUUAGCCCUAAUCACUUAGUGAAGAUGGUGUCUGCUGAGUUUCUCCAUGUAAAUUUGCUGUUUUUCCCUUUGUAAUUAAUAAAUAUCUUGGGUGAGAUAUUUUGAGAUAAUGUAUCUUUUUCUCCUCAACCUUAUGCCCACUAAUGUUAGCAUCCAUUGGUAGAUCUGCCUGCAAAAAUUAUUCCUGUGGCAUACAGCAUGUACAUAUCCAUAAAUAAUUGUGUGAGACAAGUAAGCCCCUAUUUCAACCACUGCAAUAGGGUUUUCUAUUAAUUGAGCCUUCUUUGAAUGUCUUUUUAAUGGGGGCCCAUUAUAACAGGGUUUCUUUAAAAAUAUUUAUUUAUUUAUUUAUUUUUAGAGAGAGAGAGAGAGAGAGCAGGGGGAGGGGCAAAGGGAGAGGGAGAAGAAAUCUUAAGCAGAUUCCCCACUGGGAACCCAAUGUGGGGCUUGAUCUCAUGACCCUGAGAUCAUGCCCUGAGUGGAAAUCAAGAGUUGCUUAACCGACUGAGCCACCCAGGUGCCCUUUAACAGGAUUUUUAAUCUGACAAUGACACAAUCAAAUAAAUAAAACAGUCCUUUCUUCCUUCCUUCCUUUCUUCCUUCCUUCCUUCCUCCAUCCUUUCAUCUAUCCACCCAUCCAAUAUUCCUUUUUUUGUGUAAAAAAAAUUGAAGUACCAAUACUUACAUUUCUCCUAGUUACAUUCUAACUGAUGCCCCCUACUCCCUGUUGUUCUGUUUGAAUUGUUAUAUGAACUUGCUGUUAUGGCCAAACAAAUAAACCAAGUUGGAAACCUUAAUUUCUUUGAGCAGAUGGUUGUCAAAAUCAAUCUGAGAAAAGAGGUGCCAUAUUGUUUGCUGGAAUGUGCUAUCACAGAAAAUGACUGUUGUGGACAUCUAUUGUUUUCGGCUUCUCAGCAUCCCUCAUUCCUUCUUUAGGUCACAGCACCCAUAUCUCCUUCACAGCAUCUGACCUUCCAUGUUCUUAGCCCGUGCAGUUUAGUUAAGUUGGCCUACCAGCUGGCACCAAGCAUGAACACAUGCCCUAGGCUGGGACAGAAUUAUCCAUCCCCCUGGCCAUAGCCAUUGGUCGAGACAUUGGCAUCUGGCUCUAGUUGGUCAGUCAGAAUCUCCUCCAAGGUCCUUG